rnacentral:misc_RNA from 1 species
UAUACUCUGCCUUAGCAGAUGAUUUUGAAAUUGUGUUCUGCUUUUUGUGAGUUGUUAUGGAUUUCUUAUGUUCUUUGUGAUUUGAAGGUUGAGUUGCAACUACCCAUUCCUCUUUUCUGUGAUAACCAAGCUGCCAUACAUAUUGCUAAAAACCCUGUAUUUCAUGAAAGGACGAAACAUCUUGAUAUAGAUUGUCAUCUUGUCCGCUAACAUUUACAUAAGGGUUUCAUCUUGCCUUCUCAUUUAACUUAUGCUCACUAACUUGCUUAUGUAUUCACAAAACCAUUAGGGGCUGCUUCUCAUAAUUCUUUAGUUUCCAAGUUGGGACUGUUGGAUCUUCCACAGCCUCCAACGUGAGGGGGGGAUAUUAGAUAUAUUGCUGGAAGUUUAGUUAAUUUAUAUUAGUUGUUGCUGAGUUGUUUAGUUUGACUUUUCUUAGUAGCUCAGUUUAUGUGUGUAGAGCUGUUAUUUGUCUUGUAUAUAUAGUGUAACAGUUACUUUGUUUCAUAUGAAUGAGUACAUCAGUUUUUCUCUCAAUUCACAAGUUUUUCAUGGCCACCUUGAUCCCAUUGCCGUUGUUGUUGUUUCCAUCAUUUGUGUCCUCGCUGUCAUUAGCACCAAGGGAUCGUCCCGCUUCAAUUACAUUGCCUUGAUUGUUCACAUUGUGGUGAUUCUAUUUAUCAUUAUCGGUGGCCUUAUCAAAGUGGAUACCAAAAAUUACGCCGACUUUGUCCCAUAUGGUCCUCGGGGAAUUUUUAAAGCUGCAGCUGUGCUUUUGUUUGCAUAUGUUGGAUUCCAUGCUGUUUCCACAAUGCCUGAAGAAACCAAAAUUCCUGCUCGAGAUAUCCCUAUUGGUCUUGUGGG